AAUCAACGCUGGCGGCGUGCCUAACACAUGCAAGUCGAGCGAGAAAGGGUAGCAAUAUCCGAGUAAAGCAGCGCACGGGUGAGUAACACGUGGGUAAUCUGCCUCGAAGUGGGGAAUAACACCGGGAAACCGGUGCUAAUACCGCAUAAUCUGGCGAAGUCUGCGGAUUUUGUCAGCAAAGGAGCAAUUCGCUUUGAGAGGAGCCCGCGGCUGAUUAGCUAGUUGGUGGGGUAAUGGCUCACCAAGGCGACGAUCAGUAGCCGGUCUGAGAGGACGGUCGGCCACACUGGAACUGAGACACGGUCCAGACUCCUACGGGAGGCAGCAGUGGGGAAUUUUUGGCAAUGGGGGCAACCCUGACCAAGCAACGCCGCGUGGGUGAUGAAGUCUCUUGGGACGUAAAACCCUUUCGACAGGGACGAAACCGCAAGGUUGACGGUACCUGUAGAAGAAGCCCCGGCUAACUCCGUGCCAGCCGCCGCGGUAAGAC
rnacentral:rRNA from 1 species